CCUCGUAGCAGUUCAAGCAUGAAAUUUAUACGCCAAACGUAAAUUUCAAACGCUAAAUCUUAAUUUACUGCUUUGGUGAAUACGUGACGAGUGGUUAAUUUGUUUUCUUGAAUUAUUGUUAAAUACCACAAGUUUAAUAAUUGCUUAAUAUAUUUCAAAACUGGUGUAAAAGCUGUUAUAAUAGAGUUGUAAAAUCACAAACUUCGUUAGCGGUUUGACGUUUG